UCUUCCUUUUUUCUGCUUCCAACUCCGUCAUUAGAUUGAGGGCGUUCAUUCUUUCAGUUAAACCAAUCAGAAUUUGCCACAACCUCUGUGAGCCAAUCAUAUUGUUGCUGUCAAACUUUCAAACUGUCUUUUCUCUCCUGGAGGACCCCGACCAGAUAAAAGACUGCAGCAUCACUCCAGCUCCAGGCCUCCCUCCCUCUCUCGCUCCAGCAGCUGGUGGAUCAAGCAGUCUUCAGUGAUCCCACUGAGCCCUUCACAUCCAUUCUGGUUCUGGCCUCUGUGGUCACAGCCCCUCCACCAGAUGUGCAGUAAGAGGAAGCCAGAAGGCCAUUAAUAUAUGACCACAGACCCAACAGAGAUGAGGAAACAUAAAGGACUGACCUCAUGAUGGCGCUCUGGAGUCAACAGCCAGCAGAGAGCUCUCUCUGUCUCUCACAGUAUAGCUUUGUCCCUAACUCUUAACCAUCACAACUAAAUGACCCAAACCUUCAUUGAAAUUAAACCUUAUUUAAUCUUCACCCUAAAACACUCUUUUAAAGGUCUGUCCCAAAGUGAGGACCAGACAAAAUGUCCUCACUCCCAAGGUCUGAAACUCUAAUUGGUUCUGACAAUUAUAAUUACAGACACACAGAACGGGAGAAAGUCAAUAAUUAUUUCAAUAAUCUUCAGGCUGUUCUUCGUUCAGCAUGUUUGGAGAUUUAAAAUGUGUCUGUGGACGAACUGAACCUGGAAACUGUGGUCAUGUUUGUCCUCACAACAUAACAUAAAACCAUGAAACAUUAAAUACAAACAUUGUAAUGGUAAAAAAAAUCCAUCCUCUGUCCUUUCCUAAACACUUUUCCUUGACUUUGAUGGAAAACGUCAUGAGGUCAAGGAAAGAUGUGAAGGAGAAUUCAUAAAAGACAACCGCGGUGCUCAGAGAACCAGGCUGCACUUACACCAGCUUCUUUUUAACCAACUUUAUUUAUAACACGCGGAAGAUGAGUACAGUGACAAACUCAAUGCUGCUCACUUCAAAAGGUUUCCUGUCCAACACAGAAUCACACCUCCUAAGAAAGGAUGUUUCAUUUGGUACAUUUAACCAUCAGUUAGGCUGCUCAUAGGAAGUAACAACAACAUAGA